UGGUUCUGGCAUCGAUGAAGAACGCAGCGAAAUGCGAUAAGUAAUGUGAAUUGCAGAAUUCAGUGAAUCAUCGAAUCUUUGAACGCACAUUGCGCCCUCUGGUAUUCCGGGGGGCAUGCCUGUUCGAGCGUCAUUACAACCCUCAAGCUCUGCUUGGUAUUGGGCAUCACUAUUCUGUAGUGUGUCUUAAAAUCAGUGGCGGUGCCAUCUGGCUUCAAGCGUAGUAAUUCUUCUCGCUUCUGGAGCCUGGUGAACACUUGCCAGCAACCCCAAUUUUCUCAGGUUGACCUCGGAUCAGGUAGGGAUACCCGCUGA
rnacentral:misc_RNA from 1 species